rnacentral:rRNA from 1 species
CGAGCGCAACCCUCGUUUUUAGUUGCCAGCAUUAAGUUGGGCACUCUAGAGAGACUGCCGGUGACAAACCGGAGGAAGGUGGGGAUGACGUCAAGUCAGCAUGCCCCUUACGUCUUGGGCUACACACGUACUACAAUGCUACGGACAGAGGGCAGCAAGCUAGCGAUAGCAAGCAAAUCCCGUAAACCGUAGCUCAGUUCAGAUCGCAGGCUGCAACUCGCCUGCGUGAAGGAGGAAUCGCUAGUAAUUGCAGGUCAGCAUACUGCAGUGAAUUCGUUCCCGGGCCUUGUACACACCGCCCGUC